rnacentral:misc_RNA from 1 species
UCAAAAACUGGGUACCGUUUAGAUAGUAUGGCUUCAGAACUGAACAAUUAUCGGACAAUGACUGACGGUUACAGACGUUCAUUGGAAGAAGAAAAGAAAAAUCCAACAAAUUAGAACGAAAGUUGGAUCGUCUUACCAUAGACAAUGAGAAGCUGACGGAAGAACGAGACAAAUGUGAACAAAAGAGUUUUGAGUACAAAGACGAGUGCAGAAGCUUGCGUGAAGAUCUUGAAAAGUCACAAGCUGAAUGCCGGGACCUACUGAGCCAAACACAAGAUGGAGCUUCCGACGGUACAACGAGUUUACUGCAAGGAAACUAUUUCACAAGCACACCGAUGGGCAAUGGGUUUGGAAAGCCGAGUUCUCAAUCUAAUUUUGUAUUUGGAAUAGGAGGAGAUAAAAUGAACAGGAAAAAGUGAAGCAAAGAGUUUACUAUAUUAUCUACGCCAGGAGGAAAGGAAUUCUUGACAUGAUAUAUAAGCGACUUUUUGAAAUGAUUAUGACUUUUUUAGAUACCGGGUCCUGUGCUGGAGAUUGUGAUCAUUUGGUUAGAACCACUUCAUAGCAAACUAACUAAUGAUAAAAGAUAACCAUGCAUUUAUAUUUCUUUUGAAGUGUUACAUGAUAAUAAUUUGUUGAGUUGUGAUACAUUUACUAUAUUGUUGCGUUGGGUGUAACAUGAAAAAAUUCCAAUGGUUUAAAUGCAAGACUAAUUUUGUUUAUUCUGUCUGAUAUUCAUUUAUGUAUUCCCUACUUCCUUUUGGCAGCUACUUCAACAAUACACAUGUCUGACUGAACAGGUCAAUGACUUCCGAUUCUAUUGACAUUAUAUACCAGUAUAUCGUUAUGUUUAAGAAUCAACCGCAAUAUAAAAAGAUUGAAAUCAAACAAGUCUCAUUUCAUGAAGUCCAUGCAUUUUUAUGGAUAUUUUUGUUUUUUAUUUCAAAUUAAUUAUCCAUGGAAUAAAUUUUUAUGUCUUAUACUUUUAUUAUAUAUAACCGGAUAAAUAUUUUUAAGAGUUUGAUGUGCUCUGUCUCAUUUGUGUGGAUGCAUUUUUAUUUAGACAUCUUGUUAUUCUUUAAAAUAUAAUUAUACAUGUAUUUGUGUUGUCUUAAAAAUUACUGUAUAUCGAUUUUUACCGACACGUGAGUUAAAGAAAAUAAAGUUUAAUUGUAUAGCUC